rnacentral:rRNA from 1 species
AUUGAACGCUGGCGGCAGGCCUAACACAUGCAAGUCGAGCGGAUGAAGGGAGCUUGCUCCUGGAUUCAGCGGCGGACGGGUGAGUAAUGCCUAGGAAUCUGCCUGGUAGUGGGGGAUAACGUCCGGAAACGGGCGCUAAUACCGCAUACGUCCUGCGGGAGAAAGUGGGGGAUCUUCGGACAUCACGCUAUCAGAUGAGCCUAGGUCGGAUUAGCUAGCUGGUGGGGUAAAGGCCUACCAAGGCGACGAUCCGUAACUGGUCUGAGAGGAUGAUCAGUCACACUGGAACUGAGACACGGUCCAGACUCCUACGGGAGGCAGCAGUGGGGAAUAUUGGACAAUGGUCGAAAGCCUGAUCCAGCCAUGCCGCGUGUGUGAAGAAGGUCUUCGGAUUGUAAAGCACUUUAAGUUGGGAGGAAGGGCAGUAAGUUAAUACCUUGCUGUUUUGACGUUACCAACAGAAUAAGCACCGGCUAACUUCGUG